rnacentral:sRNA from 1 species
GCUGGGCACGAUGGCACAUGCCUGUAAUCCCAGCAACUCAGGAGGCUGAGGCAGGAGGAUUGCAGGUUCGAGGCCAGCUUCAGCAACUUAAUGAGGCCCUGUCCCUU